rnacentral:rRNA from 1 species
GUCCACGCCUUAAACUAUGAAUACUAAGUGUCGGCGGGUUACCGCCGGUGCCGCAGCUAACGCAUUAAGUAUUCCGCCUGGGAAGUACGGCCGCAAGGUUGAAACUCAAAGGAAUUGACGGGGGCCCGCACAAGCGGUGGAGCAUGUGGUUUAAUUCGACGCAACGCGAAGAACCUUACCCAGGCUGGACAUGCAGGUAGUAGAAGGGUGAAAGCCUAACGAGGUAGCAAUACCAUCCUGCUCAGGUGCUGCAUGGCUGUCGU